rnacentral:tRNA from 1 species
AGCCUUGUGGACAAAUAGACAAGUCGCUGUGCCUCUCAAGCACGGAGAAGCGGGUGCAACUCCCGUCGAGGCUUCCA